UUAAAAAAAAAAAAAAGGUAAAGAAGUAAAAGAAGACUGGAGACGUUUCCUGAGGCCAUGUCCCUCUCUGAGGUGGGAGAGGCAAGAUGUAGAGACAGCUAAUGUUUUUGCUCCUGCCUCAGUGGGUUUUCCUCCUGCUCUGAUUGGGGUCACACGGCCCAGAUGAUGACAAGCCAGAAAUGUAGCCUGGGUCCUGGAGUGUCACCUAGUCAACACUUGAUUUUCAAAAAGGAAUCCAUCAAGAUUGCCUUAGAUCAGGGGAAGUCACCUGAGUCCACUCCUGGGCACACUGAACCCCCCCCCCCCCCAAAUCUCUUUGUCUUUUCUCAGGGUUCUUAUUUGCUUAUCUUCAGUGAUUUAUGUGGGGGAAUCACUGAGAAAUUCACUGCCAGCGGCAGAGGUAGGAGCAUCAAAAGAGUCUUGGUUGGACUGGCUUCUCCCUACGUCAUGGACUUAAUUUUAUCCUAUGGUCUUCGACAUAGACUUAACCACAUUUUGUCAAUACAGGACCGUGAAAAAAGCUGCUGAAACACAAAGAACGGAAAACAGGAACUUGAAGCGAUAUUUAUAUUUCAAUAUUCGUAGCAGCAUCAUUCACAAGACCGAAAGGUAUUUACACAAGAGAAAUGAAAACAAAUGCCCACACAAGGACCAGUACACAAAUGUUCAGAGCAGUCUUAUUCAUAUGAGCUAAAAACUGGAAACAACACAAAUGUCCAUCAGUGGGUGAGUGGAUAAAUAGGGCAUAUCUAUGAAGCAGAACACUGCUAGCAAUAAAAAGGAACACGCUGCUGAUAUCCGUCAUUACGCUGAGUCAAAGAAGCCAGAAGCAAAAGGGUACAUAUUAUAUAAUGCCAUUUAUAUAAAAUUCUAGAAAAUGUAAGUUAAUCUGUGUGGUGACAAGACAGAUCAGCAAUGUGGAGCCCAGGGGUGGAGGAGGAAAUUACCACAUGGGGCAUAAGGAGACUUUGGGGGGCAAUGGAAAUGUUCUAUGUCUUAAUCGUGGCUGUGAUUUCUACACAUGUGUAUUCCUAUUAAAAGUCACCAAAGCGCACACUUUAAAAGGGUGUAGUUCAUUAUAUGUAAUUACAUCUCAAUCCAGUAGAAAAAAUCUAAUCACUUAAAUUAACAAAGGGCUUUCACUUGAAUCAGGUUUGUUGAAAACUUGAGCAUUAGGACCAAAGAAAAGCCGGAUCUGGAGGAGAAUAUGUACUAAAAGCUAUCAAAAUGAUUCUUUGGUCCAGCGUUUCCACAUCAGGAAAUUGAUUUUAAAGAAAUCACAAGAAUGUCCAUCCUCAUAUUACUCAUAAGGGACAAACUGAAAUGACCAAAUGGUUAAUAAAGGGCAUUAUGGCAUA